GUAUGAUAGUGAGAGGGGCUGAGACAGUAGCAGAGCGAGCCAGAGGCAGAGAGGAGGCGGCGAAGGAGCAGAUCUCCUCCUGAGUCUCCAUCCCAGAGAAGACAGAGAGAGGAAGAAGACGAGGAGAAGUCGACAGUCCUGCCUCUCUGGUGCAUCCCGGCAGCCCCUGAAGUUAAAACCAAGACAUCCGCUGUGAGGUCAAGAGGACAUGAUGUACCAUGAAGACUGUCGGCUGUCAGAAGACUGAGCACAGAGGAUCCUUCAGGAGCCGAUGGAGAGACCCACGACACCGGGGAGCCUGAACCGCCUGACACAAGGACGUGUUCUCAGAUAACACAUUGUGCAGACAAAAACAUCCCACACAAAGCCCACACACAAACUAACAUAAAUCUCAUCACUAUUCUCUUUGACAAGCUUAAUGCUGAGUCAUAGCAUCCCCAAGUCGACUAAAGAACUUCUAAUGAUUGCAGGUUUGAUUGCUAAAUAAACCUGUUAGUUAUAAUAUGUGAAACAAUUAAGAUGUGGAAGAAGUAUUGACAUCUAUUACUGGAGAAAAAGAAGACUCAUUUAAUAGUGUUAUUGUUGUUAGACAUUUUAUUGGAUUUUUGUGAGACGCAUUUUAAUGCGGUAGCUGGUUGAGGUGGAGCCAAUUUCAACUAGAUUAUAUCUACACUAAUUUGACAUCUGUUAUGUGAUGAUUGCGUGUUUCACUUCUAAAAUCGUACUAUUUAUUUAAAGUAACGCGUACAGCUUGUGCAAAAGCUGGCAAACACAUGAAGUGAAGAAAUGUAAUGAACCGUGCUUCAUUCAAAAUCUAGCGUUCUCGCAAAAUGGUCCUUGAAAUAUCAAGAAAAUAUUACAUGGUUAUGGGUAGUGAUGCAGUAACGUUAAGGAUCAUUCGAAUGAAGUUUUAACUGCUUCAUAUACUAGAUAGAUAGAUAGAUAGAUAGAUAGAUAGAUAGAUAGAUAGACAGACUGUUUCUUUGCGAAUAUGAAUUGCUUCUUUGCACAGAAUUGUUAUUCGUAGGUGAGUAUUUGAGCAUCGAUAGCCAUUCAAAUGGUGUUUCCUGUGUGCAUCUCUAGUCGGACAUAAAACAAAAUGGCCUAUUUCAUCAAGAGCAACAGCAACCUUUACACUCUCUGAAACCGAGUGCUUUGAAACCCAACCUUUUUCCAACCCAAUUAGUAAGAUUAAAUGUAAUCUGUUACCUCACUACUCACGCCUCGUCUCAUGAGCCCCAACAGAGGAUUUGUGAGGAUCCGCAGGUCCGUUCCUCCAUGUGUCAGCCCCCACACGGCACCUCCUCCUCCUCCACCUCCCCGCCCUCAGUGCACCGCAGUUGCAUUAUUAAACUUGUAUAAGAUCAUUAGCAUACAAAGCAGGAAACCUACCGCGGUGAAGUCAUACAUAUUUAUCUGGACGUGCCUGACUUGUGCGCGCAUACACUCGUACUGUAACCUCUUUACACACACAGGCGUGACUGUGACUUCCUACUGCAGGAGAGCUGUGAACAGAGAAUAUGAAGUGGAUAUUACUAAAGCGUGGCUAGUUUUUAAGGGAUAGAUAUUUAUGUGUGCAACAUCUGAGGCUUGCGUGUGCCGUAAACUGCACAUUAAAACACGCCUGCGAGAGCAGAACGAGUGUUUAUUUUGAGACAGAGCAGAUGGAGUUUGGUUAGGUUCAUCAGAGCAGUUUGCUUCGAGCAUAUCAAAUAUAGUUUACACACAGAGGAAUUUCAGCGUCUAGCAAUGCCUGCAAUACAUAUUCAUCUCCUGUACACGGAAGCACAUAAUCUAACAGAGGCAAAGACAAACAGAGAGCAUGGUCUUGUAAAUACUUGUAUCACCUGUGGGUUACCUCUGUCUUUUGAAUGCCUGUGAAAUCAGCUCCUUUUCUCUCUCCUUCCCUUGUUCCCUCCCCUCUUCAAAUCCACCUUUUCUCCUCAACCAUGCUAUCCCCAGUUCCCUGCCUUUUUCGGAAGAUCACUUUCUACACUUUCCCUUCUUUUCCUCAACUUCCCCGGUGAGAGCACAACCCUUCCUUUUUAUUUUUGGCAGCGUGGAGUCCUUUUGGUAAUAUUCCUUUCCUCCUUCCUUCUUUUUCCUCCCUCCUGUGAGAUUGCUGUUGUGUCUUAUGGCUUUUUAUUCCUACGUGAUGGUAGAUGGGUUCAUGUAGGAGUAGAAGCCACUAAACACGCGGUGAGUGCUCAACGCGCUGGCCAACACACACAGCGAGCUUCCUGUGGAUAUGACAGCUGCCAUGUUCACAUCAGUGCCCUGCCCAUUAUCAAGAUUGUGCACACAAUAAAAAUAGAACAUGGUAAUCAUUUCAGUGAGCGGGUAAUCUUCUUAGACCAGACCUGUAAUGUGAAAAAUCUUUUUAAGUGACUUAAUUACAACAGUUAUUAUCCUUAAUUGAACAAUUGGUUUUAGGACAAUAGUGCAGAAUGUACUGUAAGUUUGGGCUGACAAAUCAAUCUGAGCAAAGUUGUGAACAGACCUACUUUUCCACAAAGAUCUCCCACCUGCAUGCUGGCUGCACGUGCCCUGAAUUUUUAAACUCAUUCCUGCGUUCCUUUGCCCUGGGGUCAUCGUACAAAACUGGAGCUGGAAAGUUCUCAAAAUAGAGAUCAGGAGGAGUGGGUGCCACAAUAGAAAGGAAGCAACGCGCAGAGGUAGGUCAUCUUGUAUGAUAAUACUGUACAUAACACUAGAAAGCAAAGGUGGAAACAUGUUACAGAACACUCUUAUGACAUACAGAAGUGUGAAAAUAAACCCUGUCUACAUGUGAACUGAUUUGAAUUGAGCUGAUGUGAGAUACUGCACACCAAAAUCAUCAAUUUCCCUCUCCAGCAUUUUAAUGAACUAUGGAAAAAAAGCCCAUUUUCAGCUUGGUGACUGAUUAUUAUAUUUUUCAUUGAAUUCAAUGUUUGUUUGUUUUUAUAUGGUAUAAUUGGCUUAAACGUGCAUUGACUGAUUUUCAGCCACUUGUUGGCAGUAGAUCAAGUUUGUCGGAGCAAUAUUAACAAUCAUUUGAAGUUAUGUUUCUGUUCACCUUAGGAAUUUAAAUAUUUACUCACCUUUCAGCUUUUCGCUCUGUUUUUGGUCUCCACCAACUGCUGAGGGAAAUACCUGGCUCUUUAGCUGCUAAAUGCUCUGAUAUGUUUAAUAUGUUUUGGUCCUGGGCAGAUAGAGGUAGUGUGCACAGUCAGCGUUUUUUUUUUUUGGUUUGAUAGUUGCGGUUGCUUAUGCAGUUGAGCCAAAACAGUAAAAUUUGAUGGAAAACCAAAAAAAAAAAACAAGCUAAAAGAUGGUAAAACGGUUCAUAGAGCUGGGGGCAUCUGCAGAGGCAUACAUGUAGUCAUUUGAUCCAUUGUUAACAAACACAUUGAUUAUAGAUAAUUAAAAAUAAAGAAAUAUUUAAUCGUUCAGUUUGUCUCAACAAGUUUGGAGGUAUUUAAUUUCACUGGAUGCCUACUUUACUUUUUUUUGUAAAUUCACAUUCAGUCAUUCACAUUCAUUCACAUAUGCUCAUUUCAGGACUGAUGAGACAAACACUGCUCCUUUUAAAGCUAUUUAGCUCUGAAAACUGUGACUCAGCUCAGUUCAAACCCUUUAAAUUCCUGUCUACUCAUAAAUUGGGUCUGGGACAUUUUAGCCAGCUCAAAAUGGCUAAUAAUGGGAACUUUCUGCCUGAAAUGAACUCAGUGUCAACCAAUUAAGCAAGAAAUUCAAAUUAUCCUGUUCCUGUUGGGUCCAGUUUGGCGCUGUGGGGUUUGGGUUUAAAUGUCAAACUUCUGUUUGUAUUUGCUAUAAAAUAAGCCACUCGCUCUCUCCUCCCUAACAGCAUCUAAAUAAAGCCUAAAUGGAUUGUUGUUGGAAAACCAAAAAAUGAAUUAUUAAUCCCUGGAAGAGUUUGACACAUGCUUGCAAUUGAAUGACAUUACUUCUGUGCUGACAUGAGGUGGUGGAUAAUUAUCCAAGAUGAAAUUGCAAUAGAUAUGGUCUGCUGAAGUUUAAUGAUUUAUUCAGGGCUGUAAGUUAUGAUCUAAUAUUCAGUGGGAGGGAUGGGAAGUUUCUUUUGCUUGCAUUAUCAGUUUAAUUUAUUUUUCAGGUUCCCACUCCUACGUAGAGUUUUUUUUUUUUUCUUCUCUAUAGAGACACGAGGAGGUCUGAGAGAAUAGUAGAGCAGUGGAGAAACAUUAGAGGAGGCUGAGAGAGGAUUCGAUCUUGGGCCAGCAGGAGUCCGUGGGAAUCUAAAGGUGGGAAUCAACCACCAUGGCAUCUAUGGGAAAGUGUUUGCAUUAUUUAAAACUGGCAUAUGAAGGGAGGAAGUUUGAAUAGAUUGCUGCCACCCUCUGCUUCGCCCGAGGGCGUGUACGCGUUUCCCUGCGUUCCUCGGUUACGAUCUGACUGUGCUGUAAACCUCACAUUUCCAAAAUGUCAAAAUGUUCGGUGAAAUAACACACAGUGCAUUUCCACUGUGACAGCCUGUGCUUUUUUUUCUUUUUUCAAAUUAUGCAAUGGCUUUCAUGAGUCCCCGGGCUGUGAAACUUGCACAAGGUCACAUAAUCCUCAAGUUCAGGUAAAAACAUGAAAAUCAUCAGAAUUGGAGUAAUGGGACUUUCAUCUGACAGAAGCAAUAAUGUGGUGUGUUUGUGUACAGUAGCUAUAAUGUAUGACUGUAAUGCAACCCUCCUCAGGCUAUACUUUUUCCCUGUAAUAAAUAAUGCUCUUUUGUGUUCCCUGCUUCAUUUGUUCCCUGUUGUAACAUCAAUGCUGCUCAAUAAAUCAUGAAACACGCCUGUUCAACCUGA